AUCAGAAGUAUACUUGGCAUAGAUUAUAAAUGUCAGCGACAUAAUACUAUGGUCACUUCUGUGCCAAAGAGAAUAUUACUUGGUUGCACGGCCACAGACGUAGAAUGACAAUAUUUGUCUAGGCAAACUAGAAAGUAAAAUUGUAGAGAUUACAUAUUGUUCGUGCCAGUGAAAAGAUCUCGGAUGGUCCUUGGAGCUCAUUUGCGAGCUUCUGCUUUCUUCUGUUCUUUGGCAGCCUUUUCUUCUUCCCGUUUUUUAGCAGCUUCUGCCCUUUGUUGACGAAUAAGAGUCAAACGUUCUAAAUCUUUCCUAGCUUGUUCAGUCUUCCCUUGUUCUUGAAGCCUCAUGAAUCGCUCAUGAGCCUUUUGUUUCUCUAUCUCCUCCCUUUCACGCCUUGAAAGUUCAGUUGUUUUGCCAAUAUCAAUAUCUCUGGCUUUCAAGGUUUUUGGCUUCACCAAGUUAGGAUUUUCAAUCUCAAUAAUACCUUGAGUGCCUUUCCUUCUAGGUUUAUCUCCCUGAUCAUCAGAUUCAUCCCCAGAUUCUUGUUCAGAUCCUUCCUCAGAUUCUUCCUCCUCCUUGUGCUCAGCUUCUACCUGUUUAAAUGUUCGUGGACGUGUGGAGGUUCCAGCAAGCAUGUCUUCAGGGGUAGAGAAUUGGCGCCGACCGGUGGGCUUGCUCUUGUACUUUCCUCUUCCCAUCGUCGACGAAAAGCAGAAGGGAAAAAGUAGAAACGGGAGGAAGAAGCAGAAGAGGAGCAGAAUCGACGUAGAAUAGAAGCCCCCUCUUAGUUAAUUUGUGGAAGGCGAAGUUGG
rnacentral:misc_RNA from 1 species